GCGGGCGUAGCUCAGUCGGUUAGAGUGCCGGCCUGUCACGCCGGAGGUCGCGGGUUCGAGUCCCGUCGCCCGCG
rfam:Methylobacterium sp. Leaf104 contig_5, whole genome shotgun sequence.